rnacentral:rRNA from 1 species
GAUGAACGCUGGCGGCGUGCCUAAUACAUGCAAGUCGAGCGAACGGACGAGAAGCUUGCUUCUCUGAUGCUAGCGGCGGACGGGUGAGUAACACGUGGAUAACCUACCUAUAAGACUGGGAUAACUUCGGGAAACCGGAGCUAAUACCGGAUAAUAUUUUGAACCGCAUGGUUCAAAAGUGAAAGACGGUCUUGCUGUCACUUAUAGAUGGAUCCGCGCUGCAUUAGCUAGUUGGUAAGGUAACGGCUUACCAAGGCAACGAUGCAUAGCCGACCUGAGAGGGUGAUCGGCCACACUGGAACUGAGACACGGUCCAGACUCCUACGGGAGGCAGCAGUAGGGAAUCUUCCGCAAUGGGCGAAAGCCUGACGGAGCAACGCCGCGUGAGUGAUGAAGGUCUUCGGAUCGUAAAACUCUGUUAUUAGGGAAGAACAUAUGUGUAAGUAACUGUGCACAUCUUGACGGUACCUAAUCAGAAAGCCACGGCUAACUACG